rnacentral:rRNA from 1 species
UAGCGAAGGUGGCAAGCGUUACUCGGAAUUACUAGGCGUAAAGGGCAGGUAGGCGGUCUCGUUAGUCUGUUGUGAAAGCUCCUUGCUUAACGGGGAGAGGCCAACAGAUACUGCGAGGCUUGAGUAUAGGAGAGGGUACUGGAAUUCCCGGUGUAGCGGUGAAAUGCGCAGAGAUCGGGAGGAACACCAAUGGCGAAAGCAGGUACCUGGACUAUUACUGACGCUCAGCUGCGAAAGCUAGGGGAGCAAACAGG